rnacentral:rRNA from 1 species
UAGGUCUGAUUGCUAUUGCACCACAUGUGUUUUUUAUUGAACAAAUUUCUUUGGUGGCGGGAGCAAUCCUACCGCCAGAGGUUAUAACUAAACCAAACUUUUUAUUUACAGUCAAACUUGAUUUAUUAUUACAAUAGUCAAAACUUUCAACAACGGAUCUCUUGGUUCUCGCAUCGAUGAAGAACGCAGCGAAAUGCGAUACGUAAUAUGAAUUGCAGAUAUUCGUGAAUCAUCGAAUCUUUGAACGCACAUUGCGCCCUUUGGUAUUCCAAAGGGCAUGCCUGUUUGAGCGUCAUUUCUCCCUCAAACCCCCGGGUUUGGUGUUGAGCAAUACGCUAGGUUUGUUUGAAAGAAUUUAACGUGGAAACUUAUUUUAAGCGACUUAGGUUUAUCCAAAAACCCUAAUUUGGCAAUGGGCCCCCACAAUUAAUUUCUAAAUUUUAACCUCAAAUCGGGAAGAACUACCCGUUAAAUUUAGCCUAAUCAAAAACCGGAAGGAA